CGUAGGUGAACCUGCGGAAGGAUCAUUACCGAGUGUAGGGUUCCUAGCGAGCCCAACCUCCCACCCGUGUUUACUGUACCUUAGUUGCUUCGGCGGGCCCGCCAUUCAUGGCCGCCGGGGGCUCUCAGCCCCGGGCCCGCGCCCGCCGGAGACACCACGAACUCUGUCUGAUCUAGUGAAGUCUGAGUUGAUUGUAUCGCAAUCAGUUAAAACUUUCAACAAUGGAUCUCUUGGUUCCGGCAUCGAUGAAGAACGCAGCGAAAUGCGAUAACUAGUGUGAAUUGCAGAAUUCCGUGAAUCAUCGAGUCUUUGAACGCACAUUGCGCCCCCUGGUAUUCCGGGGGGCAUGCCUGUCCGAGCGUCAUUGCUGCCCAUCAAGCACGGCUUGUGUGUUGGGUCGUCGUCCCCUCUCCGGGGGGGACGGGCCCCAAAGGCAGCGGCGGCACCGCGUCCGAUCCUCGAGCGUAUGGGGCUUUGUCACCCGCUCUGUAGGCCCGGCCGGCGCUUGCCGAACGCAAAUCAAUCUUUUUCCAGGUUGACCUCGGAUCAGGUAGGGAUACCCGCUGAAC
rnacentral:rRNA from 1 species